GAUGAACGCUGGCGGCGUGCCUAACACAUGCAAGUCGAACGAAGCACUUUUUUACGAUCCCUUCGGGGUGACGAAUUUGUGACUGAGUGGCGGACGGGUGAGUAACGCGUGGGAAACCUGCCCUUGUACCGGGGGAUAGCAGUUGGAAACGACUGAUAAUACCGCAUAAGCGCACAGUAUCACAUGAUACAGUGUGAAAAACUCCGGUGGUACAAGAUGGUCCCGCGUCUGAUUAGCUUGUUGGCGGGGCAAACGGCCCACCAAGGCGACGAUCAGUAGCCGACCUGAGAGGGUGACCGGCCACAUUGGGACCUGAGACACGGGCCCAAAACUCCUACGGGAGGCAGCAGUGGGGAAUAUUGCACAAUGGGCAAAGCCUGAUGCAGCAACGCCGCGUGAGCGAUGAAGGCCUU
rnacentral:rRNA from 1 species